GCAGGCUCACCGUGCCCCCGGCCGCGCUCCUCGGCCUUGGCGCUUUUUCCGCCUGCCAGAGAAAUUCCCCGGGCCGCUGCCGGCACUUCGGGUGACGGGGGGCCGUGGCGGCUGGCGGGGGGUCACGUCU